rnacentral:rRNA from 1 species
AUGGGCGAUCUUGACCUCAAAGAAUUUGCAAAAGCUUGCAAGCAGGAUUUAUUACAAGAGGAUGCACGAGUUGAUUCCUCUGUUCUUUGUUCGAAAUGGGAAGCUCGAAUUGCAGACCCGAACUGGCACCCUUUUGAGGUCUGCAUGAAUGAUGAUGGUAAAGAGAAGGAAAUUCUGUUAAAGGAUAAUGUUAAGCUGCGGGAGUUAGAAGAGCACGGUGAGGAAAUAUACACUUUGGUAACAAAGGCGCUGUUCGAAAUCAACGAGUACAACCCCAGUGGCCGCUACCCUGUACCGGAGCUAUGGAACUACAAGGAUGGCCGGAAAGCAACACCGGAAGAGGCCAUCGAAUAUAUCCUGAAAUCACGCAAGAGGAAGCGCUGA